rnacentral:rRNA from 1 species
GACAGAGGUGGCGAGCGUUGUUCGGAAUCAUUGGGCUUAAAGCGUGUGCAGGCGGCGGCGUAAGUGUCGAGUGAAAGCCCGCAGCUCAACUGCGGAACGGCUCGGCAUACUGGCGUCGCUUGAGGUCGGUAGAGGUGCCUGGAACUCUAGGUGGAGCGGUGAAAUGCGUAGAUAUCUAGAGGAACGCCUGAGGCGAAAGCGGGGGCACUGGGCCGAUUCUGACGCUGGAGACACGAAAGCGUGGGGAGCAAACAGG